rnacentral:lncRNA from 1 species
CGGAUUACAGAGCAUAAUUAGGGUAUAAUCUUCACUACAAGUCCAAAAGGUGGUAACAUAACAUGCUAUGCCUAUUACAGUUCAUAUCUAUCUAUUUCAGAGUUCGGACUAAUGUUGAAAGUGUGAAUUUCUGUGUUCUGUAUUUGUUACUUUGAUGAUGAGCUACUAACCUGUGUUUCGCUGCAGGUAGUUUUUCCUUUCAUCCCACUGCAUGAUUAUGGAUCUGUCACAGGUAAAAGAAACCAAUCAAGUUAAAAAUGUAUCCAGUAGGGUGUAUUAAAUUACUCAUGUAAGGCCACGUGUUACACAUGGAUGCAUUAAUUUUUCAUUUAUUUCAAUCUGUUAACUAUAAAAUGCAUUAGGAAGAUUAAAACGCACUAGGAAGGUGAAAAUACUACCAAUUUUAUGAAUGCACACUGUAUCACAAAAUGUUGCACUAUAAACUAGACCUAUCUCAGCUACAGGUAUUAAUAAAAUAUCGAUUAACCUGUUAUAUUAUCAUAGAAAAAUAAACACAAAAUUAGUGAGGCCAAACAGUAGCACUAUAGUUUGGUGGACACUUGAUAUGCCCACACAGAAUGCAUUUGCACGCACACAAAGAAUGACUAUGCGACGCAUCAACACUAUAAAAAGAUGACUCAGUAACAUAUUAAUGGGCUGGGUAGGAUCAGGCCAACAGCGCCCAAAUCUUCAUUGUGUGGUCAGAGAAAAGCAUAUGAGUGAACUAAUGUGAUACUUUUCAUUCUCUGAUAAAAUUUAAUGUUAUCCAAUCAUGCAGGCUAACUGGUGCUAUGGUACUCCGUGUAUUUGAGAAGGCAGAUCGAGCUAAGGUUUAUUGUCACAUGUUGAAGUCUGAAGUGUCCGUGUAAUCGUCAAAUAAAGCCAUAUCUGUGUCUGCCGGUGUCCUUUUCCAGUUUUGCAUGAAGCAUUCAAAAUCCGCACGUGUAAUCAUCUUUGGCCAUCAUCCACAACCUUGAGGCUCAAAAACCAUCUUCGGGAACUAGGAGUGCAUGUGAAAUGGCUUAGAUGACUCAAUGUAAAAUAUAUUUAAGCAUUAAGCAUGUCAAUUAUUUAAUUUGUGCUUUUGAGUCAGUUCAUGUGUUGCUGUUCUGUGUUCAAUUUGAAUUCCAUCCCCUUGAAGGAAAUGAGAGGUCAUGAAUCAGAAGCCUGCAAGAAGUAGUCAAUAUUAUUGAAGCCCGAUCUUUUCCAACCAUAAAAGCUGGAUUGUACGCAUGCAUCUAUUGUGGCUGCCAUGGCUACAUAUCGUUCUCACAUGCCCUUUUCAUUCAACUAUGAUGUUCAAUUCUCAUUUCACCCCCAAAUACAUUCGCGCUAGAUUGGAAUUCGGAGACUAAAACUACCCCUGGAUUUCCUAGCUCGGUUCUACAGAACAUGUUCACAAGUGACAAGUAAUGAUUCAGCAUCGCAACAGCAAUCUGUAAAUAAUUGUAUCUUAGCAUGAAUGCCUAACUCUAAUCAUGUAUGUACGCAUUGCAUAGGUACAUGAAGGGGCAAGGAUAUCGAAGAGAACCUGCAGUUUAAUAUGCCACUGACCAACCUAGCAAUUGUGUGGAACCAUGGUUUGUGAACCAGACUCACCAUUACAGGAUGCAGGACAUUUUGGCACAAACUCGAAUUUAGCGGGUAUCUCAUGUAUAUAUUU